GUCUUUUUAGUUUAACCAAAAUAUUGGUCUUGUAAACCAAAGUUCAAGAAGUUGAUAAGACU
rnacentral:tRNA from 1 species